rnacentral:rRNA from 3 species
AGAGUUUGAUCAUGGCUCAGAUUGAACGCUGGCGGCAGGCCUAACACAUGCAAGUCGAACGGUAACAGGAAGCAGCUUGCUGCUUUGCUGACGAGUGGCGGACGGGUGAGUAAUGUCUGGGAAACUGCCUGAUGGAGGGGGAUAACUACUGGAAACGGUAGCUAAUACCGCAUAACGUCGCAAGACCAAAGAGGGGGACCUUCGGGCCUCUUGCCAUCGGAUGUGCCCAGAUGGGAUUAGCUAGUAGGUGGGGUAACGGCUCACCUAGGCGACGAUCCCUAGCUGGUCUGAGAGGAUGACCAGCCACACUGGAACUGAGACACGGUCCAGACUCCUACGGGAGGCAGCAGUGGGGAAUAUUGCACAAUGGGCGCAAGCCUGAUGCAGCCAUGCCGCGUGUAUGAAGAAGGCCUUCGGGUUGUAAAGUACUUUCAGCGGGGAGGAAGGGUGUAAAGUUAAUACCUUUGCUCAUUGACGUUACCCGCAGAAGAAGCACCGGCUAACUCCGUGCCAGCAGCCGCGGUAAUACGGAGGGUGCAAGCGUUAAUCGGAAUUACUGGGCGUAAAGCGCACGCAGGCGGUUUGUUAAGUCAGAUGUGAAAUCCCCGGGCUCAACCUGGGAACUGCAUCUGAUACUGGCAAGCUUGAGUCUCGUAGAGGGGGGUAGAAUUCCAGGUGUAGCGGUGAAAUGCGUAGAGAUCUGGAGGAAUACCGGUGGCGAAGGCGGCCCCCUGGACGAAGACUGACGCUCAGGUGCGAAAGCGUGGGGAGCAAACAGGAUUAGAUACCCUGGUAGUCCACGCCGUAAACGAUGUCGACUUGGAGGUUGUGCCCUUGAGGCGUGGCUUCCGGAGCUAACGCGUUAAGUCGACCGCCUGGGGAGUACGGCCGCAAGGUUAAAACUCAAAUGAAUUGACGGGGGCCCGCACAAGCGGUGGAGCAUGUGGUUUAAUUCGAUGCAACGCGAAGAACCUUACCUGGUCUUGACAUCCACGGAAGUUUUCAGAGAUGAGAAUGUGCCUUCGGGAACCGUGAGACAGGUGCUGCAUGGCUGUCGUCAGCUCGUGUUGUGAAAUGUUGGGUUAAGUCCCGCAACGAGCGCAACCCUUAUCCUUUGUUGCCAGCGGUCCGGCCGGGAACUCAAAGGAGACUGCCAGUGAUAAACUGGAGGAAGGUGGGGAUGACGUCAAGUCAUCAUGGCCCUUACGACCAGGGCUACACACGUGCUACAAUGGCGCAUACAAAGAGAAGCGACCUCGCGAGAGCAAGCGGACCUCAUAAAGUGCGUCGUAGUCCGGAUUGGAGUCUGCAACUCGACUCCAUGAAGUCGGAAUCGCUAGUAAUCGUGGAUCAGAAUGCCACGGUGAAUACGUUCCCGGGCCUUGUACACACCGCCCGUCACACCAUGGGAGUGGGUUGCAAAAGAAGUAGGUAGCUUAACCUUCGGGAGGGCGCUUACCACUUUGUGAUUCAUGACUGGGGUGAAGUCGUAACAAGGUAACCGUAGGGGAACCUGCGGUUGGAUCACCU